rnacentral:misc_RNA from 1 species
GAUGAAGAACGUAGCGAAAUGCGAUAAGUAAUGUGAAUUGCAGAAUUCAGUGAAUCAUCGAAUCUUUGAACGCACCUUGCGCUCCUUGGUAUUCCGAGGAGCAUGCCUGUUUGAGUGUCAUGAAAUUCUCAACCUUUCUGGCUUUUGCUAGUCAGGCUUGGAUUAUGGGAGCUGCUGGCCUUUGAAGUCGGCUCUUCUAAAAUGUAUUAGCAAGAUCAUUGCUGCUCAUCAUUGGUAUGAUAAUUAUCUAUAUCAUUGAGAGUCAGUUUCCUUUAUUGGAAGAUUUUGCUCCUAACGGUCUUUAGCAAGACAACAUUUGACGAUUUUGACCUCAAAUCAGGUAGGACUACCCGCUGAACUUAAGCAUAUCAAUAAGCGGAGGA